UACGGAGGGGGCUAGCGUUGUUCGGAAUUACUGGGCGUAAAGCGCACGUAGGCGGCUUUGUAAGUUUGACGUGAAAGCUCCCGGCUUAACUGGGAGAGGUCGUUGAAGACUGGAAGACUUGAGGCAAUGAGAGGGGUGUAGAAUUCCCGGUGUAGUGGUGGAAUGCGUAGAUAUCGGGGGGAAUACCAGUGGCGAAAGCGGCACCCUAGCGUUAGCCUGACGCUCAUGUGCGAAAGCGUGGGGAGCGAACGGG
rnacentral:rRNA from 1 species